UAUCAGUUAGUUGGCAGGGUAAUGGCCUACCAAGACGACGACGGGUAGCUGGCAUUAGUGUGUGGUCAGCCACACCGGGACUGAGACACUGCCCGGACUCCUACGGGAGGCUGCAGUCGAGAAUCUUUCCCAAUGCCCGAAAGGGUGAGGAUGCGACGCCGCGUGGGGGAUGAAGGUCUUCGGGUCGUAAACCCCUUUUAUCAGAGAGGAAAACCUGGUAACGAAUAAUUAUCAGGCUUGACAUUAUCUGAUGAAUAAGCCACGGCUAACUCCGUGCCAGCAGCCGCGGUAAUACGGAGGUGGCUAGCGUUACUCGGAAUUACUGGGUGUAAAGGGUCCGCAGGCGACCUGAUAAGUAGAUGGUGAAAUCCUUUCGCUUAACGAAAGAAUUGCCUUCUAUACUGUCAGGCUAGAGGACAAGAUAGGAAAGCAGAACUGCUGGUGUAAGGGUGAAAUCUGUGGAUAUCAGCAGGAAUGUCAGUGGCGAAGGCGGCUUUCUGGCUUGUUUCUGACGCUCAGGGACGAAAGCAUGGGGAGCGAACAGGAUUAGAUACCCUGGUAGUCCAUGCUGUAAACGAUGAGCACUAGGUGUUUCGGUCUUUGACUGGAGCGCCGGAGUUAACGCGUUAAGUGCUCCACCUGGGGACUACGGCCGCAAGGCUAAAACUCAAAGGAAUUGACGGGGGCCCGCACAAGCGGUGGAACACGUGGUUUAAUUCGAUGCUACGCGAGGAACCUUACCAGGGUUUGACACGCUAGAAGUAAUCCGAUGGAAACAUUGGAUGACCGUAUCCAAUCGGCGUCUAGUACAGGUGCUGCAUGGUUGUCGUCAGCUCGUGCCGUGAGGUGUCGCCUUAAGUGGUCUAACGAGCGCAACCCUCGCUUCUAGUUGCUAACCACGACUAUAUGUUUUGGUGCACUCUAGAGGGACCGCCCACGUUAAGUGGGAGGAAGGUGGGGAUGACGUCAAAUCAGCAUGGCCCUUAUGUCCUGGGCUACACACGUGUUACAAUGGCGUGUACAGUGGGAUGCCAAGCCGCAAGGUGGAGCUAAUCCUUCAAAGCACGCCUCAGUUCGGAUUGAGGGCUGCAAUUUGCCCUCAUGAAGCUGGAAUCGCUAGUAACGGCGUAUCAGCAACGAUGCCGUGAAUACGUUCCCGGGCCUUGUACACACCGCCCGUCAAGCGCUGAAAGUGAGGGGCACUCGAAGCCCCGAUUUUUCGGGAUCACAGUGAAUCUCAUGAUUGGUGCUAAGUCGAAACAAGGUA
rnacentral:rRNA from 1 species